rnacentral:rRNA from 1 species
GGGUUGUGAGGUUAAGCGACUAAGCGUACACGGUGGAUGCCCUGGCAGUCAGAGGCGAUGAAGGACGUGCUAAUCUGCGAUAAGCGUCGGUAAGGUGAUAUGAACCGUUAUAACCGGCGAUUUCCGAAUGGGGAAACCCAGUGUGAUUCGUCACACUAUCAUUACGUGAAUACAUAGCGUAAUGAAGCGAACCGGGGGAACUGAAACAUCUAAGUACCCCGAGGAAAAGAAAUCAACCGAGAUUCCCCCAGUAGCGGCGAGCGAACGGGGAGGAGCCCAGAGCCUGAAUCAGCAUGUGUGUUAGUGGAAGCGUCUGGAAAGUCGCGCGAUACAGGGUGACAGCCCCGUACACAAAAGCGCAUGUGCUGUGAGCUCGAUGAGUAGGGCGGGACACGUGGUAUCCUGUCUGAAUAUGGGGGGACCAUCCUCCAAGGCUAAAUACUCCUGACUGACCGAUAGUGAACCAGUACCGUGAGGGAAAGGCGAAAAGAACCCCGGCGAGGGGAGUGAAACAGAACCUGAAACCGUGUACGUACAAGCAGUGGGAGCACAGGUUUACCUGUGUGACUGCGUACCUUUUGUAUAAUGGGUCAGCGACUUAUAUUCUGUAGCAAGGUUAACCGAAUAGGGGAGCCGGAGGGAAACCGAGUCUUAAUUGGGCGUUAAGUUGCAGGGUAUAGACCCGAAACCCGGUGAUCUAGCCAUGGGCAGGUUGAAGGUUGGGUAACACUAACUGGAGGACCGAACCGACUAAUGUUGAAAAAUUAGCGGAUGACCUGUGGCUGGGGGUGAAAGGCCAAUCAAACCGGGAGAUAGCUGGUUCUCCCCGAAAGCUAUUUAGGUAGCGCCUCGUGAAUUCAUCUCCGGGGGUAGAGCACUGUUUCGGCUAGGGGGCCAUCCCGGCUUACCAACCCGAUGCAAACUGCGAAUACCGGAGAAUGUUAUCACGGGAGACA